rnacentral:rRNA from 1 species
CUUAUACAUGCAGUCGAGCGGACAGAUGGGAGCUUGCUCCCUGAUGUUAGCGGCGGACGGGUGAGUAACACGUGGGUAACCUGCCUGUAAGACUGGGAUAACUCCGGGAAACCGGGGCUAAUACCGGAUGCUUGUUUGAACCGCAUGGUUCAAACAUAAAAGGUGGCUUCGGCUACCACUUACAGAUGGACCCGCGGCGCAUUAGCUAGUUGGUGAGGUAAUGGCUCACCAAGGCAACGAUGCGUAGCCGACCUGAGAGGGUGAUCGGCCACACUGGGACUGAGACACGGCCCAGACUCCUACGGGAGGCAGCAGUAGGGAAUCUUCCGCAAUGGACGAAAGUCUGACGGAGCAACGCCGCGUGAGUGAUGAAGGUUUUCGGAUCGUAAAGCUCUGUUGUUAGGGAAGAACAAGUGCCGUUCAAAUAGGGCGGCACCUUGACGGUACCUAACCAGAAAGCCACGGCUAACUACGUGCCAGCAGCCGCGGUAAUACGUAGGUGGCAAGCGUUGUCCGGAAUUAUUGGGCGUAAAGGGCUCGCAGGCGGUUUCUUAAGUCUGAUGUGAAAGCCCCCGGCUCAACCGGGGAGGGUCAUUGGAAACUGGGGAACUUGAGUGCAGAAGAGGAGAGUGGAAUUCCACGUGUAGCGGUGAAAUGCGUAGAGAUGUGGAGGAACACCAGUGGCGAAGGCGACUCUCUGGUCUGUAACUGACGCUGAGGAGCGAAAGCGUGGGGAGCGAACAGGAUUAGAUACCCUGGUAGUCCACGCCGUAAACGAUGAGUGCUAAGUGUUAGGGGGUUUCCGCCCCUUAGUGCUGCAGCUAACGCAUUAAGCACUCCGCCUGGGGAGUACGGUCGCAAGACUGAAACUCAAAGGAAUUGACGGGGGCCCGCACAAGCGGUGGAGCAUGUGGUUUAAUUCGAAGCAACGCGAAGAACCUUACCAGGUCUUGACAUCCUCUGACACCCCUAGAGAUAGGGCUUCCCCUUCGGGGGCAGAGUGACAGGUGGUGCAUGGUUGUCGUCAGCUCGUGUCGUGAGAUGUUGGGUUAAGUCCCGCAACGAGCGCAACCCUUGAUCUUAGUUGCCAGCAUUCAGUUGGGCACUCUAAGGUGACUGCCGGUGACAAACCGGAGGAAGGUGGGGAUGACGUCAAAUCAUCAUGCCCCUUAUGACCUGGGCUACACACGUGCUACAAUGGACAGAACAAAGGGCAGCGAGACCGCGAGGUUAAGCCAAUCCCACAAAUCUGUUCUCAGUUCGGAUCGCAGUCUGCAACUCGACUGCGUGAAGCUGGAAUCGCUAGUAAUCGCGGAUCAGCAUGCC